CCUACGGGUGGCAGCAGUGAGGAAUAUUGGUCAAUGGGCGCGAGUCUGAACCAGCCAAGUAGCGUGAAGGAUGACUGCCCUACGGGUUGUAAACUUCUUUUAUAAAGGAAUAAAGUGAGGCACGUGCGCCUUUUUGUACGUACUUUAUGAAUAAGGAUCGGCUAACUCCGUGCCAGCAGCCGCGGUAAUACGGAGGAUUCGAGCGUUAUCCGGAUUUAUUGGGUUUAAAGGGAGCGUAGAUGGGUUGUUAAGUCAGUUGUGAAAGGUUGCGGCUCAACCGUAGAAUUGCAAUUGAUACUGGCAGUCUUGAGUGCAGUUGAGGUAGGCGGAAUUCGUGGUGUAGCGGUGAAAUGCUUAGAUAUCACGAAGAACUCCGAUUGCGAAGGCAGCUUACUAAACUGCCACUGACAUUGAUGCACGAAAGUGUGGGUAUCAAACAGGAUUAGAUACCCCUGUAGUC
rnacentral:rRNA from 1 species